UAAAAGUUUUCACAUGUUUAAUCUUUAACCUAAAAAUAAUUUUAUUCUCAGUUAUUCCUACAAGUUCUUAAUUCUUAUAAUGAUUGUUGCUACUAUAAUUAUUUUAUUUUUAUUUUAUUAUUUUAUUUUUUUUUUUUCAUAGUGCAACAAAUGGAAAUAAUAAAAGAGAUGUCAGAUGAGCUUAAAAGCAAAUCAGAGUUACUUCCAACUCCUCAGGACAUUUCUAAUAAAAUUCACAAAGUAGACAAAGGUUUUAUUGAUAAAUUGAAUAAAGACAUAAUUGAUGAAAUAAAUUUAGCACAACAUAAACCACAUGUAUGUGAUGAACCAAAUUAUGAACGAGAUUAUUCAUACUUGUGUCCACAAGGUACUGCGUAAAAUGCAAAAAUAAAAAAAAAAUAAAAAAAAAAAAAAAAAAAAAA
rnacentral:lncRNA from 1 species